rnacentral:rRNA from 1 species
AAUCAACGCUGGCGGCGUGCCUAACACAUGCAAGUCGAACGCGAGAGGGCUUCGGCCCCGAUUGAGUGGCGAACGGGUGAGUAACGCGUGGGUGACCUACCUUCGAGUGGGGGAUAACGUCCCGAAAGGGACGCUAAUACCGCAUAACAUCCUGCUUUUGAAUGGGUGAGAUCAAAGCCGGGGAUCGCAAGACCUGGCGCUUGAUGAGGGGCCCGCGUCUGAUUAGCUAGUUGGGAGGUAACGGCCCACCAAGGCAACGAUCAGUAUCCGGCCUGAGAGGGCGGACGGACACACUGGGACUGAGACACGGCCCAGACUCCUACGGGAGGCAGCAGUGGGAAUUGUCGCAAUGGGCNCAAGCCUGACGACGCAACGCCGCGUGGA